AACGAACGCUGGCGGCAUGCCUAACACAUGCAAGUCGAACGCGACCUUCUGGUCUAGUUGCGCACUGGUGCGUAACCCGUCGGAACCUUCCCUUAGGUUCGGAAUAACUCCCCGCAAGGGGUGCUAAUACCGGAUAAUGUCUUCGGCCCAAUGAUUUAUGGCCUCUGGAUUGGUCCGCGUUGGAUUAGCUAGUUGGUAGGGUAAAAGCCUACCAAGGCGACGAUCCAUAGCUGGUCUGAGAGGAUGACCAGCAACACUGGGACUGAGACACGGACCAGACUCCUACGGGAGGAAGCAGUGGGGAAUAUUGGACGAUGGGCGAGAGACUGAUCCAGCAAUGCCGCAUGAGUGAGGAAGGACUGAGGAUUGUAAAGCUGUUUUAAAAGCGAAGAUAAUGACAGUACCGGGAGAAUAAGCUACGGCUAACUCCGUG
rnacentral:rRNA from 1 species